GACGAACGCUGGCGGCGUGCCUAAUACAUGCAAGUAGAACGCUGAAGGAGGAGCUUGCUUCUCUGGAUGAGUUGCGAACGGGUGAGUAACGCGUAGGUAACCUGCCUGGUAGCGGGGGAUAACUAUUGGAAACGAUAGCUAAUACCGCAUAACAGUAGAUAUCGCAUGAUAGCUGCUUGAAAGGUGCAAUUGCACCACUACCAGAUGGACCUGCGUUGUAUUAGCUAGUUGGUGAGGUAACGGCUCACCAAGGCGACGAUACAUAGCCGACCUGAGAGGGUGAUCGGCCACACUGGGACUGAGACACGGCCCAGACUCCUACGGGAGGCAGCAGUAGGGAAUCUUCGGCAAUGGACGGAAGUCUGACCGAGCAACGCCGCGUGAGUGAAGAAGGUUUUCGGAUCGUAAAGCUCUGUUGUAAGAGAAGAACGAGUGUGAGAGUGGAAAGUUCACACUGUGACGGUAUCUUACCAGAAAGGGACGGCUAACUACGUGCCAGCAGCCGCGGUAAUACGUAGGUCCCGAGCGUUGUCCGGAUUUAUUGGGCGUAAAGCGAGCGCAGGCGGUUAGAUAAGUCUGAAGUUAAAGGCUGUGGCUUAACCAUAAUACGCUUUGGAAACUGUUUAACUUGAGUGCAAGAGGGGAGAGUGGAAUUCCAUGUGUAGCGGUGAAAUGCGUAGAUAUAUGGAGGAACACCGGUGGCGAAAGCGGCUCUCUGGCUUGUAACUGACGCUGGGGCUCGAAAGCGUGGGGAGCAAACAGG
rnacentral:rRNA from 1 species